UUAAGCGACCAAGCGUACACGGUGGAUGCCCUGGCAGUCAGAGGCGAUGAAGGACGUGCUAAUCUGCGAAAAGCGCCGGUAAGGUGAUAUGAACCGUUAUAACCGGCGAUGUCCGAAUGGGGAAACCCAGUGUGACUCGUCACACUAUCAUUAACUGAAUCCAUAGGUUAAUGAGGCGAACCGGGGGAACUGAAACAUCUAAGUACCCCGAGGAAAAGAAAUCAACCGAGAUUUCCCCCAGUAGCGGCGAGCGAACGGGGAGGAGCCCAGAGCCUGAAUCAGCAUGUGUGUUAGUGGAAGCGUCUGGAAAGGCGCGCGAUACAGGGUGAGAGCCCCGUACACAAAAGCGCAUGUGCUGUGAGCUCGAUGAGUAGGGCGGGACACGUGGUAUCCUGUCUGAAUAUGGGGGGGACCAUCCUCCAAGGCUAAAUACUCCUGACUGACCGAUAGUGAACCAGUACCGUGAGGGAAAGGCGAAAAGAACCCCGGCGAGGGGAGUGAAACAGAACCUGAAACCGUGUACGUACAAGCAGUGGGAGCCCCACCACUAAGCCAGUGGUGAACUCCACAUACGCAUCCUUUGCGGAAGAUACGGUUAACGGAGCGAAAGCGACGUUCAACCUAAAAAGAAGCAGAGGGGGCUUAGUGGUGGGGUGACUGCGUACCUUUUGUAUAAUGGGUCAGCGACUUAUAUUCUGUAGCAAGGUUAACCGAAUAGGGGAGCCGGAGGGAAACCGAGUCUUAAUUGGGCGUUAAGUUGCAGGGUAUAGACCCGAAACCCGGUGAUCUAGCCAUGGGCAGGUUGAAGGUUGGGUAACACUAACUGGAGGACCGAACCGACUAAUGUUGAAAAAUUAGCGGAUGACCUGUGGCUGGGGGGUGAAAGGCCAAUCAAACCGGGAGAUAGCUGGUUCUCCCCGAAAAGCUAUUUAGGUAGCGCCUCGUGAAUUCAUCUCCGGGGGUAGAGCACUGUUUCGGCCAGGGGGCCAUCCCGGCUUACCAACCCGAUGCAAACUGCGAAUACCGGAGAAUGUUAUCACGGGAGACACACGGCGGGUGCUAACGUCCGUCGUGAAGAGGGAAACAACCCAGACCGCCAGCUAAGGUCCCAAAGUCAUGGUUAAGUGGGAAACGAUGUGGGAAGGCCCAGACAGCCAGGAUGUUGGCUUAGAAGCAGCCAUCAUUUAAAGAAAGCGUAAUAGCUCACUGGUCGAGUCGGCCUGCGCGGAAGAUGUAACGGGGCUAAACCAUGCACCGAAGCUGCGGCAGCGACACUAAGUGUCGUUGGGUAGGGGAGCGUUCUGUAAGCCUGCGAAGGUGGCCUGUGAGGGUUGCUGGAGGUAUCAGAAGUGCGAAUGCUGACAUAAGUAACGAUAAUGCGGGUGAAAAACCCGCACGCCGGAAGACCAAGGGUUCCUGUCCAACGUUAAUCGGGGCAGGGUGAGUCGACCCCUAAGGCGAGGCCGAAAGGCGUAGUCGAUGGGAAACAGGUUAAUAUUCCUGUACCUGGUGUUACUGCGAAGGGGGGGACGGAGAAGGCUAUGUUGGCCGGGCGACGGUUGUCCCGGUUUAAGCGUGCAGGUGUGUGUUCCAGGAAAAUCCGGUUCACUUUAACACUGAGGCGUGACGACGAGGCACUACGGUGCUGAAGCAACAAAUGCCCUGCUUCCAGGAAAAGCCUCUAAGCCUCAGGUAACAUCAGAUCGUACCCGAAACCGACACAGGUGGUCAGGUAGAGAAUACCAAGGCGCUUGAGAGAACCCGGGUGAAGGAACUAGGCAAAAUGGUGCCGUAACUUCGGGAGAAGGCACGCUGACACGUAGGUGAAGCGGUUUACCCGUGGAGCUGAAGUCAGUCGAAGAUACCAGCUGGCUGCAACUGUUUAUUAAAAACACAGCACUGUGCAAACACGAAAGUGGACGUAUACGGUGUGACGCCUGCCCGGUGCCGGAAGGUUAAUUGAUGGGGUCAGCGCAAGCGAAGCUCCUGAUCGAAGCCCCGGUAAACGGCGGCCGUAACUAUAACGGUCCUAAGGUAGCGAAAUUCCUUGUCGGGUAAGUUCCGACCUGCACGAAUGGCGUAAUGAUGGCCAGGCUGUCUCCACCCGGGACUCAGUGAAAUUGAACUCGCUGUGAAGAUGCAGUGUACCCGCGGCAAGACGGAAAGACCCCGUGAACCUUUACUAUAGCUUGACACUGAACACUGGUCCUUGAUGUGCAGGAUAGGUGGGAGGCUUUGAAGUGUGGACGCCAGUCUGCAUGGAGCCGUCCUUGAAAUACCACCCUUUAAUGGCUGGUGUUCUAACGUAGACCCGUGAACCGGGUUGCGGACAGUGUCUGGUGGGUAGUUUGACUGGGGCGGUCUCCUCCUAAAGCGUAACGGAGGAGCACGAAGGUUGGCUAAUCCUGGUCGGACAUCAGGAGGUUAGUGCAAUGGCAUAAGCCAGCUUGACUGCGAGCGUGACGGCGCGAGCAGGUGCGAAAGCAGGUCAUAGUGAUCCGGUGGUUCUGAAUGGAAGGGCCAUCGCUCAACGGAUAAAAGGUACUCCGGGGAUAACAGGCUGAUACCGCCCAAGAGUUCAUAUCGACGGCGGUGUUUGGCACCUCGAUGUCGGCUCAUCACAUCCUGGGGCUGAAGUAGGUCCCAAGGGUAUGGCUGUUCGCCAUUUAAAGUGGUACGCGAGCUGGGUUUAGAACGUCGUGAGACAGUUCGGUCCCUAUCUGCCGUGGGCGCUGGAGAACUGAGGGGGGCUGCUCCUAGUACGAGAGGACCGGAGUGGACGCAUCACUGGUGUUCGGGUUGUCAUGCCAAUGGCACUGCCCGGUAGCUAAAUGCGGAAGAGAUAAGUGCUGAAAGCAUCUAAGCACGAAACUUGCCCCGAGAUGAGUUCUCCCUGAGACUACAAGUCUCCUGAAGGAACGUUGAAGACGACGACGUUGAUAGGCCGGGUGUGUAAGCGCAGCGAUGCGUUGAGCUAACCGGUACUAAUGAACCGUGAGGCUUAACCUU
rnacentral:rRNA from 1 species